rnacentral:sRNA from 22 species
GUCAACAACCCCCCACUUAGGCUAACGCCUUGAAGUGUGGGCUUUUAAAGUCCUAGUUGACUAGACUAAGCACCUUGGGUGCUACGUUAUAUAGGUUAUGAUACCCUCGGAUGAUGCCCUAGUCCGUUGCUCUAUC